CGUGAAGCGCGAAGACGCCUGGGAAGAAGCGCUGUAGGACGCCGCGGCGGGGUCCGGACCCGGCUGAGUCCACGCCGGGUGACACGAGGCCGCGCUGCUCGCCUGGGAUCCGCCACCGUGCGCCUGGAGGCAGUCGCUCGUGUACAGUCUGCUGAGAGAGGACCAGAGUGGAGGAGAAUAAGCAGGACUCUCCAUAUCUUCAUUUCCUUCUUUUAGUCUGAGUCUCCAUCUCUUAAUGUCACCGACUCCCUGGUCCUACUCCCUGCUGUCUGAAGAAACGCAAGGUCACAGUGAUGCCAUGGCUCAAAUAAACCAUAUAAAGCAUCAUUUCUCUAGUGAAGAAAAUACUGUCUAUUGAUGUGAAAAAAAAGUGUGUGUCAGAAGAUUCUGGAAAUAAAUAAUAAACAUGAUCAUUCA